GGGCCUUUAGCUCAGCUGGCUAGAGCGCUUCCAUGGCAUGGAAGAGGUCACGAGUUCGAAUCUCGUAAGGUCCA
rnacentral:tRNA from 2 species